rnacentral:rRNA from 1 species
GUCUACGGCCAUACCACCCUGAAUGCGCCGGAUCUCACAAGCUAAGCAGGGUCAGGCCUGGUUAGUACUUGGAUGGGAGACCUUAGUGAGCUUUCCAUGUGCACCUGGAAA